rnacentral:rRNA from 1 species
GUGGCCGCAGGGAAUAGGCCCAAGCGACUGUUUACCAAAACCAUAGGUUUCUGCUAAGUCGCCAGACGAUGUAUAGGAGCUGACGCCGGAACGGUGCCGGAAGUUUAAGUGGUCCGGUUAGAGCAAUCGAAGCAGUGAACUUAAGCCCCAGUAAACGUCGGCCGUACCUAUACCGGUCCUAAGGUAGCGAAGUUCCUUGUCGGGUAAGUUCCGACCCGCACGAAAGGCGUAACGAUUUGUGCACUGUCUCAACAACAGACUCGGUGAAAGUGUAAUUCCGGUGAAGAUGCCGGAUACCUGCGACAGGACGGACAGACCCCAUGGAGCUUUCAUGUAGCCAGACUGGGGGGUUUGGACAUACACCUACAGGAGAGGUGGGAGGCUUUCAAACCUGGCCAGCAGUUUUGGACGAGCCAUCUGGUGGGUGACAACCCGGUGGUACCGGC